UAUUUUCAAAUACCGAACUGGUAUAAAUACUAACAAGAUCUUUAGAGACAACAUCAGUGAUCUACAGUUAUUAAAUCAAUACACAGCUAGUCUUUAUUUCACUAGUUGAGCUACCUCAAAUUCACAUCCAAACAAACAUCAUCAUGUACAAGUUAUUGUUAUUGAUUGUGGCCGCUUUGGCUUUGGUCGCUGUUGCUUCUUCUCAAGUUUUAGUUUACUACCCAACUAAUAACUACGCACCGUUGUACACCUACCCAUCGUAUGCCUACACUUACCCAGUGUCUUACAAUCCAUACAUCACUCUCCUUCGUCGAUGAAUAAAUAUUUUACCAAAUCCGUGAGUAUGCAUUGAAAUAAGUAUAAUAAUUAAAAACAUAUAAUUAUUUUCAUUAUUUAUGUAUUAUAUAUAUAUUUAAUAUAUAGUUAUAUGAUAAUUUAUAAUUAUGUAUAACAUUAAACAUUAUUAAGUAUAAAAUAUAAAUAGGUAUAUAAAUCGAAUCCUAAAUGCUAUAAGCCAUUCACUAUAUUAUGUAAUGUAUGGAUGCGUAUCAUCAGGUGCAAUCAUUGUCAAAUAAUGGAAGUAGCUAUUUUCAGAAUCUUUUUAAUUAAAAAAAAAUUGUUAUCAUUAAUUUUUUCUGAUUUAUUGUGACUUAUUCACCAUUUCAUAUUACUUAUUAUUUUAUUGCAAUUUUAUAUACCAAAUUAUACUUAGUAAUUUUUUGUUGAUUAAACAUAUUAUGUUAACUUAUUAGUUAUUACAUAUAUUAUCUUCAACCGUAAAUUAUAAAUGUAUAUUUUUAGGAAACUAUCAGGAGCUGUUCUGCAGUUAUUCAACGCCAAUCGUACGAAAAUAUAUUGAGAAUAUAAAAUGUGUUUAUGUAAUUUACAUAUUUUAUUGAUUGCUAUUUUUUAUCACAGUUAAUUCUUAUAUCUUCUUGUAAACAUGUAUAAUCACAAUGUCAUACUUUUUAAAUUAUUUUUUAAACAAUCGUUUAAUGUAAUAUAUAUAUAAUAAUUUAUUGAAA